rnacentral:ncRNA from 1 species
GAAAAGGUAAUGAAUGUGUUAGUAGAGAACCGUUUUCUAGCAGAGAGAGGAAAUCAUUGGCUGGAAGUUUCCUUAAGUUCAGACGGUAAUUGAAUUUCCCACAGGAACCGCAGUUUUGAAGAAGAUAUUUGUGUAGAAACUGACGUAUUUGCACGUUACGCAAACCGAGAGCCUGUCUAUGACAGGAAUUAGGGUGGUACCGCGAUUAACCUCGUCCCUUUU